rnacentral:rRNA from 1 species
GACGAACGCUGGCGGCGUGCCUAAUACAUGCAAGUAGAACGCACAGUUUAUACCGUAGCUUGCUACACCAUAGACUGUGAGUUGCGAACGGGUGAGUAACGCGUAGGUAACCUGCCUGGUAGCGGGGGAUAACUAUUGGAAACGAUAGCUAAUACCGCAUAAUAUUGAUUAUUGCAUGAUAAUUGAUUGAAAGAUGCUAUUGCAUCACUACCAGAUGGACCUGCGUUGUAUUAGCUAGUAGGUGAGGUAACGGCUCACCUAGGCGACGAUACAUAGCCGACCUUAUUUUGUUUGUUUUCAUGUGUGGACUGAGACACGGCCCAGACUCCUACGGGAGGCAGCAGUAGGGAAUCUUCGGCAAUGGACGAAAGUCUGACCGAGCAACGCCGCGUGAGUGAAGAAGGUUUUCGGAUCGUAAAGCUCUGUUGUAAGAGAAGAACGGGUGUGAGAGUGGAAAGUUCACACUGUGACGGUAUCUUACCAGAAAGGGACGGCUAACUACGUG